rnacentral:rRNA from 1 species
AGAGUGGAAUUCCACGUGUAGCGGUGAAAUGCGUAGAGAUGUGGAGGAACACCAGUGGCGAAGGCGACUCUCUGGUCUGUAACUGACGCUGAGGAGCGAAAGCGUGGGGAGCGAACAGGAUUAGAUACCCUGGUAGUCCACGCCGUAAACGAUGAGUGCUAAGUGUUAGGGGGUUUCCGCCCCUUAGUGCUGCAGCUAACGCAUUAAGCACUCCGCCUGGGGAGUACGGUCGCAAGACUGAAACUCAAAGGAAUUGACGGGGGCCCGCACAAGCGGUGGAGCAUGUGGUUUAAUUUGAAGCAACGCGAAGAACCUUACCAGGUCUUGACAUCCUCUGACAAUCCUAGAGAUAGGACGUCCCCUUCGGGGGCAGAGUGACAGGUGGUGCAUGGUUGUUGUCAGCUCGUGUCGUGAGAUGUUGGGUUAAGUCCCGCAACGAGCGCAACCCUUGAUCUUAGUUGCCAGCAUUCAGUUGGGCACUAUAAGGUGACUGCCGGUGACAAACCGGAGGAAGGUGGGG